GUAUUGACGAAGAGUCGCAGACUAGGAUGAAACAGCUGUCCAGUAC
rnacentral:hammerhead_ribozyme from 1 species